rnacentral:rRNA from 1 species
GACGAACGCUGGCGGCGUGCUUAACACAUGCAAGUCGAACGGAAAGGCCCUGCUUUUGUGGGGUGCUCGAGUGGCGAACGGGUGAGUAACACGUGAGUAACCUGCCCUUGACUUUGGGAUAACUUCAGGAAACUGGGGCUAAUACCGGAUAGGAGCUCCUGCUGCAUGGUGGGGGUUGGAAAGUUUCGGCGGUUGGGGAUGGACUCGCGGCUUAUCAGCUUGUUGGUGGGGUAGUGGCUUACCAAGGCUUUGACGGGUAGCCGGCCUGAGAGGGUGACCGGCAAAAUGGGGACUGGGAUACGGCCCAGACCCCUCGGGGGGGCAGAGGUGGGGAAUAUUGCCAAAGGGGGGGAACCCUGAUGCAGCAACGCCGGGUGGGGGAUGACGGCCUUGGGGUUGUAAACCGCUUUCGCCUGUGGCGAAGGGGGGGGGACGGUAAGGGGUAAAGAAGCCCCGGCUAACUACGU